UCAGACUAAGCCAUGGCGUUCCCAUUCUUAGAAGCAGUUAUUGGUUUUAUGAUAUUGAUGUACAACUUUGAAACUUACUUGGAUUUCCGCCAACAUGCUGCUCUCAAACUUCCAACACUUCCUAAAACUUUGGAAGGAGUAAUCAGCCCAGAAAAGUUUGAGAAGUCGAGAGCCUACUGUCUUGAAUGAAGCUUCCGGAGGGUCCGCUUAGGGAGAAAAGUGAGAAGCUCGCUUCUUCCCUCAUGUUUCCAUUAAAUUAAAGAAGUUGUUUGUCGUUGAUGGAUCUAUAAGGUCAAGUCACAGCAAUGUGAGGACUUUCACAAUGUUUACGUUGUUCUGAAUUUUUGUGGACUUUCUCGAUCAUCUUACCUAUAUAUCAUGGUACAGGCCUAUAUGUAUGGAUUUUUUAAGAACAAGAGGAUUGUCCUUUAUGAUACACUGAUCCAGCAUGUAUUAAUUUCAUACCAAAAAAUUAUCAAAACUUGUAUUGUCUCGGUUAGUUUGUUGUUGUAUAUAUCAUUGUGGAAAAAAGGUAUUUAUGUGUGUAAAUGAGUGCUUGCAGUGCAAAAAUGAUGAGGAAAUUGUAGCUGUUCUAGCUCAUGAGCUAGGCCAUUGGAAGCUUAAUCACAGUGUAUACUUAUUCAUUUCUAUGCAGGUAUGUAUGCUAUAAUUUUUCUUGCAAAUGCAUGUCAUUUUAGAAACUAGUGACAUUUAUGGCCGGUUGACACUGAGUAAGCUCUUCAGUAUUGCUGUGUGAUUUUUCUACAUUGGUGCAGAUCUGUACGCUGUUACACUUUGGGGGAUAUGCUCUCCUGAGAAAGUCCAGCAGUCUGUCUCAAAGUUUUGGGUUUGAUACCCAACCAGUAAUCAUUGGUCUCA